CAGAUUUCUUUGUAAAGCAUUUUAAAAUGGACCAACUCUAAAAAUUCCGGAAUAAAUAGUAAGAAGUGCCUGUGAAUCUUCCAAUACCUCGUUAAAGUCCGAAUUAUAUAACUAACUUUUUAAUUUUUUUUCCAACGAUUGUAUCUUGGAUUACUUUGAAGUUCUAGAGAAGAUCCUAAAGGAGCAGAAGAAAUUCCAGAAUAGUUUGCAAGCUGUCUAGAGCUGGUUGGUUGCCUAUUUUUUGCAUAUCCUAAAGUCAAGUUAGUAUGUUAUUAAGUUUGCAGAGACUGUAUUGAUUAAAUAUCGCUUCUUUUAGAAUCCGACUACAUACCACCACGUCCAGGAUCAAAUUCUUCCCGCAUUUCAUCUCUGACUUGGCCUCCGGAUGCACCUCUGCCAUAUUGACGACCUUCUUCGUAACCAUGAUCCAAAUCUGCACGAAUAAUUCUUUCAUCCAAUGAUGUUCUUGAAAUGUAUUUUAAGCUAUCUAAAGCAUCUUGAUUUUCAAAAUAUUCAACAAAACAAAACCCACAUGGUGUCUGGUAAUAUUUGAUUAGUACAAGUCGGGCAUCUAUGAUUGCAUUCCAAGACAACUUUGAAAGUAAUGAACUUGAAGAGCAAAUAAACAGAAUUUUAUGAAAACUUACCUUUGUAAAUCUAUCUACGCCCAUGAUAAUUCGUCGAAUCUCACCACAUUUGGAAAAUAAAGCAUAAAUUUGCUCCUCGGUGGUAUAGAAUGAAAGGUUGCCAACAUAAACACAGUUACUUUGUUUCACAGCAUCUAAAGCACGUAAAUCGUUUUUAAACCUCCGUAUGAGAUACGGAGAAACAGCAUCUAACCUUGUUAUUGAUGCCAUUUUUCCUAGGCAGUGGUUGUAGGUUGAAGUCUAACUUUAUAGUGUACUAUGCAUUUACAAAGUAAAAAAAUCAUCGUGUAAAUGUAGCUAAUUCCAACCCUUAUAAU